UGGGGAAUAUUGCACAAUGGGCGGAAGCCUGAUGCAGCGACGCCGCGUGAGGGAUGACGGCCUUCGGGUUGUAAACCUCUUUCAGCAGGGAAGAAGCGUGAGUGACGGUACCUGCAGAAGAAGCACCGGCUAACUACGUGCCAGCAGCCGCGGUAAUACGUAGGGUGCGAGCGUUGUCCGGAAUUAUUGGGCGUAAAGAGCUCGUAGGCGGCUUGUUGCGUCGGAUGUGAAAGCCCGGGGCUUAACUCCGGGUCUGCAUUCGAUACGGGCAGGCUAGAGUUCGGUAGGGGAGAUCGGAAUUCCUGGUGUAGCGGUGAAAUGCGCAGAUAUCAGGAGGAACACCGGUGGCGAAGGCGGAUCUCUGGGCCGAUACUGACGCUGAGGAGCGAAAGCGUGGGGAGCGAACAGGAUUAGAUACCCUGGUAGUCCACGCCGUAAACGUUGGGAACUAGGUGUGGGCGGCAUUCCACGUCGUCCGUGCCGCAGCUAACG
rnacentral:rRNA from 1 species